CCAAGAACUCUUUUUCCUCGUGAAGAACUGUUUUCGCUCAAACAGUGUCGCCCCCUGGCGCACCAGAAAGGCGACCGGGCGAUGAAGAACGUUUGCCUGGAAAGAAGUUCUUCAUAACGUUUUUGUUUUUUUUUGUUUGUUUUGUUUUCGAAGAAGCGGCUGCGCGCGAAGGAGUGCCGGUGGUGCCGCUGCGCCGCGCCGUUUGCCUGCGUGAGAUCUUGUAAAGGCGAAAGUAACGGCGGCCAACAAUUCGGGGUUCGCUGUUUACUGUUUCGACCUGGUUCUGUCGGCGGCAUUCAAUGGGUGGGGUCACGGUGCGAGAACAUACAAAUGUGUCUAGAUGGAAGCUCCAGGACGUGUCAGAUUGGUUGACAAAGCAAAACCUUGGAGACUUCGCCCAAAAAUUCGAAGGUAAGCAGAAUGCUCCGUCCUCUUUGUUUGUGUUGGUUGGCGGCGUCGGUUUCGUCUCGCGUUUUCAGUUUCCAAGUUUAGUGCCGGUAACGGUGACUGAUCGGGGUCUCGAUGGCGCUAUCCUUCCAUACUUCCAUGUGCACGCGAAUAUUUUUUUAUGAAACUUGUAGUGCAGUGUGGAUAUUUGGACAUGUGUUGUGAGCGAGGAAGUGCUUCCGGGUCUUUCGGCGAUUGGUGAGAUUUGUCCUUGUUUGUGCGAUUUCAGCAUGAGCGGAUACGAGUGUUGAAAGUUUUCGCAGUGCUACCACAUUGGGAGUCAUCUGACAAAUCAUGUCCAGAUAACUCUUGGUGACCCGGACUUUAAUUCUGUUUGCAAGUUGGAAGAGGUUGAUGGGAAGACAUUACUAAGCUUGUCAGUGUGGAUGAUUGAGCAGUUUCUCCCUGCUAUGAAACUGCGAGUCAGACUGCUAAAACUGAUUGAACAGCUAAAAGGAGACAUAAAAGAAAGCUUGCCUGGACCCUCCAAUGUGCCUCGUGCUAGUAACACAGCAGCCUCAGUUUGGUCUACAGAGGUUGUGAGAAACGUAUGGCCACAGAGAUAUACUCUUCCAGAAUUUCCCCCGCUACUGUUACAGAGGCUGUGUGAAAAGAGUGAACGUUUCCUUCAACCACAGCGAAAUGAAGCACGAACAAAGUUGGUCGCUGCGUUGGCAGACGACAUUCUGAGCAAAACUCCGAAAGCAGCAGCAUUUGAAAUCCUCACUUAUAUAUCUUAAAAUAGAGGCUAACAUUUGUUGUUUUUUCUUUCCAGAACGCCAAGUCGGUCUUAGCUAGAUGAUGUCAUGCGUGCCCUCCAAGCGGCAUACCCCUUCCUGGCCGACUCCACUGUACGCUGCGCUUGCUACUCAUCAGUUUCACUGUAGGAUUCACUGCGACACAGCCUUAUUAACAAAAUGAAAAAAAGAAAGGUUGCUUCUUAUGCAUCUGCCAGAAGUUCAGCAAAACAAGGAAAACUAUGGCAAAGGUGGUGGGCGAAAGCGAAAGGAAAAACGCCAGCAGUGACUGUAUUCAAAAAUACAAAAGGACCAUGGUUCCACAUCAUGAAGUAGAAGGUACCGACAACUGUGCAGACCACAUAGAGAUUAUGGCUGCUGAAUGCCCCAAGGCUGCAACAGAUGUGAAGCUCUUACUUCAAACAAUAGCACAGACGUCACAGGCAAGGAGGGUAGGCAUCGCUGGCAAGACCAUCACUGAUGUUAUUUAGCUGUACCCGGCCCUCUGCAUUCCCGAAGUGGUAAUUCUAACGCCUUUCCCACUAAACUUUCAAAGCAAUAGACAGCCUGAUUGGUGGAUCAGUUUUGUCUCGUUUUGAGUUACUUCAAACCUAAAAAGGGUAUACUAAGAGACUUAGGCACUGUCUAAAUUCAGCUAACAGCCUGGUUUGCAGCUGCCUACUUGCAGUGCCGUUGUGAUCUUUGUCUGGGUUUAACACCUGUUUGUGCCAUGCGCCCUCGCAGUGUGUGGUUGGAGAGAGGCAUCAUGAGAAGGAAGGGGCAAGUCUUGUUUUGCCGCAAUUCCAUUUUUCCUGCUUCCACACCUGAGUGGUUACCUUGUCCAUCUCGUCUCCAAGAUAGCAUUUUUAUCUAUAAAGUAUAUCUCAACAAGAAAGGGUUUUGAAGUUUUUUCAAGUCAGUUUUUGUUUUCUUUUUUUA
rnacentral:lncRNA from 1 species